rnacentral:rRNA from 1 species
AGAGUUUGAUCAUGGCUCAGGAUGAACGCUAGCUACAGGCUUAACACAUGCAAGUCGAGGGGAAACGACAUCGAAAGCUUGCUUUUGAUGGGCGUCGACCGGCGCACGGGUGAGUAACGCGUAUCCAACCUGCCCAUCACUUGGGGAUAACCUUGCGAAAGUAAGACUAAUACCCAAUGAUAUCUCUAGAAGGCAUCUGAAAGAGAUUAAAGAUUUAUCGGUGAUGGAUGGGGAUGCGUCUGAUUAGCUUGUUGGCGGGGUAACGGCCACAAACCCCCGNAACGAUCAGUAGGGGUUCUGAGAGGAAGGUCCCCCACAUUGGAACUGAGACACGGUCCAAACUCCUACGGGAGGCA